CCUACGGGUGGCAGCAGUUUUUGCUAUUUCCCCCUUUUUUCCCCCCUGCUGCCGCGCCGCCGCGUGAGUGAAGAAGUAUUUCGGUAUGUAAAGCUCUAUCAGCAGGGAAGAAAAUGACAGUACCUGACCAAGAAGCCCCGGCUAACUACGUGCCAGCAGCCGCGGUAAUACGUAGGGGGCAAGCGUUAUCCGGAUUUACUGGGUGUAAAGGGAGCGUAGACGGUUAUGUAAGUCUGGAGUGAAAGCCCGGGGCCCAACCCCGGGACUGCUUUGGAAACUGUGUAACUGGAGUACAGGAGGGGCAGGCGGAAUUCCUGGUGUAGCGGUGAAAUGCGUAGAUAUCAGGAGGAACACCGGCGGCGAAGGCGGCCUGCUGGACUGAAACUGACGUUGAGGCUCGAAAGCGUGGGGAGCAAACAGGAUUAGAUACCCGGGUAGUC
rnacentral:rRNA from 1 species